UUUAAGGGUUUCCCAAGGGGAGUUCCAUGGGCGGAGAGUCCAAAGGCUGUUGAACUGCGCUGUACGGAUGCUGUUUUAUACACAUGUGGUGUUAGCAAUGCUAUCCCACCACACGCAACAGAGCAGGCUGUCUUUCAUCUGCCUUUCCAAGCCAUCACAGCAUUCUAUUUCUGCUUUUAGCCAAGGAAAAGACUGGAAUAGUUUUUCCCAGGAGCAGCCGGUGGGCCUGGAAGCUGGGCUAUGGAUCUAAACCUAAAGCUUCAUUUGGUGCAGAAGUCCAACCAAAAGGAAAGUGGCAUUAGAAGAAAUUUGUCCUGCUACUAUCGUUGCUGUCUCCUUUUCCUCCCAGAUGCCUUGGGAGACAUCACUUGAGAAGAGAAGGCAUGAAGCAAAACCUGGCUUGUAAGACAUUAGCACGUAUUCACUCCAGAAGAGAAACUACAAUGACAAUUAGAUUUGGCCAUUGACAAUGGAGCAGCUAAUCACCGAAGCUAAAAUAAGAUUACCCGAAAUAAAAGUCUGUUGCCUGGCUGCA